rnacentral:rRNA from 1 species
UACGGAGGGGGCAAGCGUUGUUCGGAAUUACUGGGCGUAAAGGGCGCGUAGGCGGCGUGGUAAGUCACUUGUGAAAUCUCUGAGCUUAACUCAGAACGGCCAAGUGAUACUGCUGUGCUAGAGUGCAGAAGGGGCAAUCGGAAUUCUUGGUGUAGCGGUGAAAUGCGUAGAUAUCAAGAGGAACACCUGAGGUGAAGACGGGUUGCUGGGCUGACACUGACGCUGAGGCGCGAAAGCCAGGGGAGCAAACGGG